rnacentral:lncRNA from 1 species
AUGUCAUUUCUCAGAUUCGGUUUCAUACGUGUGUGUCUCCCCCUGACCUCACGUGUACGUGGUCUGACAGAUGGGAUCCUGGGUGCACACAGUCCACAGGUGGCCCAUGUCAGAAGACGCCUGGGGUCUCUGUCGGCACGUGGGGACCCCACACCCACAUUAGCAGCUGCCCAGCGCUCACUGGCCCACCUGGACCAGGACCGAUGCGUCCCAUCCCCUCUCCGUGGACACUGCCGUUUCCAGUCCCUGAUACUCCAGCCUGUGCCGUGCCGGACCCUCUUGAAAAUACAUCUUGGAGACACUGCGCAGGAAUCCCUGCGGCCGGGGUCCCGGGAUGGGCUCUGCAGGCGAGGGGCCCCACCUGUGCACUUCUGGUCCUGCACAUGCUUCUCCCAGAGAGCAGCAUCCUUCCUCACGUCCCCCGAAGGCAUCUGCUGAGUCUCUGCUUCCUCACGUUGUCCCCAGAGCUACUGGUCACCAGACGAGAGACCUUCCUGUGGGACGGUGACCAUGCUGCCGCCACAGUGUUCACACAUGUGUGUCCUCACUGGGGACGCUGAGCAUCGCUGACCUAUACUGACCGUGUGUGUGGCCCUCCCGUUGAAAUCACAUGAUUGCUUUUUGUCCCUUUUAAAACAUUAGCUUUGGAGAAUUCUCUCUCUCUCUCUCUUUUUUUUUUUUUCUUUUUAGGGUGGCAUCUGAGGCAUACAGAGGUUCCCAGGCUAGUGGUCAAAGGGGAGCUGCAGCUGCUGGCCUACACCACAGCUGUGCCAGGGAUACGUCCGGUUCGUUACCGCUGAGCCACGACAGGAACUCCUGGAAUAUUUUCAGGACCACAGAGAUGUUAAGCCUUUUUCUGGCUCUGGGGUGUGAGGCAUGCUCUUCGGGUUUGUCUUCCUCACUUUCUACAUGUUUGUUUUUGCCACAGGAAGAGUCUGGCGUUGCCCUGUCUUCUGGCUCCGAUGUCACGCUUCGAACAGGGGACUCUGUCCUGAGGUGGCGCACAUGUCUCCUCAAAGGGCUUCAUUUGCUGCAUCUCAUCUUUAAACCCAUCUGGAAUUUCCCUUGCAAAUAACAAAGCUCUUUUUCAAAUAAAAACAGAAAACAAAAAUUUAUCA